GUGCGUGUGUGAAUUUUAAUUCAGUGCUGUGCUAGUUUAUUGUUUUUCCUUUAGUGCGAUGAAUCGAAUGGAGUCCAUAAACUAUCCCUGCAGCAUAUUGAUCCGGUGAUGAAUCAAUUAGUGAGUUAUUUAAUUAGCCAGGCAUUAUGGGUCAGUGUUGAGUGCCUUUGAUUGCAUGGAGUUGCCAGGUCCUCCUAAAUCACCCAUUUGUAUUUGGCGUAGUGGGAGAAAUUCUCCCUCAGCAACAGUAACGGUGAUGAAAAUUGAAAUGGAUGAAUACUGAAAUCUCAUCUCACAAACUGUUAGGAGAGGCUGUCACUGCUUCGAAAAUGGAGACGUGUUUUAAAUCACCGGGACUGUGUAACCUUGAAAUGACAAGCAGGUGUAUUGAUGGAGCCCUGGGGAGCAACUAAGGCACAAAGACUGUGACACGGCCACCAGAUUGGCCAUGGUGUUCAGCUGUUAGCUGAUUACAUUGAUCUCAUUGAUUUGUUACAGCUUUCCAGUCAUUCCAUACCCAAAGGCUUUUGUGUUUCGAUGAGCUGUAAUAAUUCUUCAGAGGUUCUUUUACAUAAAGCAGGUUGUUGCCCAUGUGUAAAGCGCCUCCAGUUCAAGGGCAGGUUGAGUGUGAUUGAUCUGUGUGGUGUGAGGGUCUGGAGAGUUGGUUCCAGCUGGAUGUGGGGAACAGUGAUGACUACAGUGCUCUCCUCAUCCUUAUUCUCCCAUUGCGAAGCUUGGUGAACAUGGGCCUGUACCAUGAAGCUGGUUUAGGUGGCUAGCCAGGUAAGUUUCUGUUUAGUUUGUGCCAACCCUGGGUUUAAGGUACCAUGAAAGAGGCUCUGCUUUGACCAGUGUUCAUCGCCAUAGUAACUCGCACUCCAUGGCUAACCUGCACUGGGGCAGGUUAUGUUCUGGGUAAGAGAACUCGCACCCAAUUUGGACCAAUCAGCUGUAAGCAAAGCGACAUCUAAGUGACGCAACUAAUUCAACUCCCCAGCGCAAACUGAAAGAAGAGCACUUCAUCGAGAAACAUUUAAAUGAAACAGUUUACAUUUAUAUUAAAUGAAAUGACUUAUGCUUGGGUUAUAAGUUUUUAAAUCCAUUUAUUCUCAUUGAGAGCCUAUAAAAGUAAAUUUACGCGUUCACACAAUCAGUAAUGUUCCCGAGCUUUGGCAGCCGCGACGGUGUUUUGCGGUUAGUGUAGGUGUAAAGUCCUCAUAUUUCUGCAAAAUAAUUUCUUGCUUUGCAACUGGAAGUAUGCACACAUGCUUUCCCCCCCCCCAUGUUGAACGCUAUUGGCUGUUCGGUGCCGAUGUCACACUUUUAUGUGCACGCGCUCGUGGACUAAUGAGUUGACAGGGUAUGUUACCAGUCAUUGUACCAAUAAAGCCCGAUUGGUUUGGUUUUGUCAACUAGAAACUAUCCUGUAACCCUGAGUUUGUUCAACUACCUUCAUAGUACAGGUCCCAGGUGUCUUAUCAGCACACGCUGAUGCACAACAGCUUUAGAUAAAAGCCAGUGAUCAGAGAUAUCUGUGGCACAUUUCAAGAGAAUUAAUGGCUAGUUUCCUGUAGCCUUGCAGAAAUUUGAGAACCUUUUUUUUUUGUUUGUUUGUUUGUUGUUUUUUUUUGCUCAUAUGUUAACAAGUUCACAUCAGAAAUGCAGAUUUCUACCUCCUCAGAGUUGUAUACUUAUGCUAGCUGUGACAGAGGGUUAGAAAAUUAUUAAACAUUCACUUUUAUAUUUACAUUUAUUCAUUUGGAAUAUACAACUGAAUGAGAAUACAGUAUCUGGAAUGCAGGCCUUGCUCAAGGCCACAGUAUUGGCUUUCUGACAAUCCUGGGAUUUGAACUCACAAAUUUCUGAUCACUAGCUCAGAGCCAUACACAUGUUGUUUUUUUUUUGUUUUGUUUUUUUAAUUGAAAGGAUUUACAAGUUUGUGAUGUAAAUUUAAUACUUUUUUUCACACAGAUCAAAUUAAACUCAGGAUAAGAAAAUUAAGCUAAAGUGUUUUAUUUAUUCAUCUUCAUAAUGUGACUCAGACACAGUCUCAGUGUUUAAGUCUAAGCUUAAAACAUAUUUGUUUACUCAAGCCUACCCUGACUAGAUUCUGUUCUACUACUUCGCAGUCAUAAUUAUCUUUUUUUCUCCCUCUCUCCUUUCGCCGAGCCCCACACGAAUUUAUGGAGAUACUAGAGAUCCAGAUCCUCUCUGCCUCUGGAUGGAGCUCAAAUCUUCUUUAAUUCCAGACUGCUGGGACUACGGCUGCUCUUAACGCCAUACAGACUUCAUAUAAAUCCAUAAUGAACUUUUUCACAAUAUCUGUUGUUACCCAGAUGAGGAUGGGUUCCCUUCUGAGUCGGGUUCCUCUCAAGGUUUCUUCCUCUUAAAACAUCUUAGGGAGUUUUUCCUCGCCACUGUCGCCACUCAGUGGCUUGCUCAGUUGGGAUAAAUUCGCACCUUUAAUAUCUGUAUACCAUGUUGAUAUUUCUGUAAAGCUGCUUUGAGACAAUGUCUAUUGUAAAAAGCGCUAUACAAAUAAAAUUGAAUGGAAUUGAAUAAUGAA